AGAGAUGGGCAAGAAUCUGCAAGAGGUGGCCAGUAUCUACUAGGAAAGAUGUUUCACCAGAAUCAUCCAGCUGAAUAAUGUCUAAUUAUCUUCAGGAAGCUGAGUAGCCAACUCAGGGAGUCAACUUCAGGGCCCAAUCUGUCCAUAUUUUGCUAAUACUCUGUCUUUGUUUUUAAUAUAAAUACUUUUUCUGAGAAGACCUUUAAUCAUGUAUCAUCCCUGACUUCACAUACAGGCAAACUAAAAUACAUAGAAUGUUACAUGUAUGAAUAUGUCCUAUCUAGCUUUGUGAAUUCAAGUCUUCUAUCUACGUCCAGUUGGAUGUCUAAAAACAAAAGGGAAGAAUGGAUGCUGUGACCCAAAAAAAGGGGAAGCAGUAAUUAUGAUGAGAAGUAACUAAAGAAGCAAGCAUUUGAGGCAUAAACUCAAAAAGUCAAUGUGGAAGACCGGAAGUGGGACUGGCUCACAGAUGAGACUACGUAGCUGAAAUGACAGAGUGGUUUCCUGAAUCAUGGCUUUGGAGGUCUUAGGUUCCAGGACAGCAAACUCAACACAAAUGCAAGCCAGGCAAGGAUGUUGGAUUGUGUAAACAAAAGGGCCAAGACGACCAAAGACCAGCAGAAUUCCAUGGAAAGUUGAUUUCAAAUACAUUCAUCUCAGAGCAGGGCUAGGAAUACUGUGAGCAUGGUGAUUUAUCAUCAACUCACCCCUAAGUGUUUGGAAGCUAAAUUACAUACAAGAAAAAACAAAAACAGCUGGUGUGAUGCCUACUGCCUGUAAAAGGAAAAGGCAGCUCUGCAGAAGACUGGGUAUGACGAGAGCUCUCUAGAUGAAGGGCUGCAGCUGGGCUUCAGACACACCUCUCCAGGACACAACACAAUAGAACCAACAAUCUUAGAGAAGAGGUCUUCAGAGUCAAGCAGCAAAGGCAUGUUUGUCUUUUCCAAAAUUGGUAGUGAAAGUGCCAAGACGUGGGAGUGAAGGCCAUGAAGGGAGAGCUACAGUCACAAGAACACACUGGAACCAACACCUCAGCUCCUGGGAAGUCAGAAAUAAAUGACUAAUCGC